GACGAACGCUGGCGGCGUGCUUAACACAUGCAAGUCGAACGGAAAGGCCUCUUUCGGGGGGUACUCGAGUGGCGAACGGGUGAGUAACACGUGAGUAACCUGCCCUUGACUUUGGGAUAACUUCAGGAAACUGGGGCUAAUACCGGAUAGGAGCUCCUGCUGCAUGGUGGGGGUUGGAAAGUUUCGGCGGUUGGGGAUGGACUCGCGGCUUAUCAGCUUGUUGGUGGGGUAGUGGCUUACCAAGGCUUUGACGGGUAGCCGGCCUGAGAGGGUGACCGGCCACAGUGGGACUGAGAUACGGCCCAGACUCCUACGGGAGGCAGAAGUGGGGAAUAUUGAAAAAUGGGUGGAAGCCUGAUGCAGCAACGCCGUGUGCGGGAUGACGGCCUUCGGGUUGUAAACCGCUUUCGCUCAUGACGAAGCUUUGUGUGACGGUAGUGGGUAAAGAAGCACCGGCUAACUACGUG
rnacentral:rRNA from 1 species